AAUCAGUGGUUGUGAAAGAUUUACCUGUUGAUUCAUUGGAAGGAGAAGAUUUUGAGAAGGAAUUCUCAUUUCUGAACAAUCUCCUAAGUCCUGGUUCUUCAAGUACUAGUGAAUCCACCCAAGAAUGCCAGACUUCCUAUGGGAGCCCCAGUGCCGGUCUCAUGUCCCAGGAGCCUUCUGUGGGGUCUGAGCCUCUCGCUCAUUCCUCUCGAUUCCUUCCUUCACAGCUCUUUGAUCUUGGCUUUCAUGCUGCUGGAGCUUUCAACAGUGAGUAUCUAUGAAACAUUUUGAUACAUGUGCCUUAUUUUAUCUUUGUGAAGCAAAAUUAUGUACUUGAUGCUAGAAUGAACAAGGAGAUGGAUUUUAACUUCAGUGCUACUAGAUAAAAUCUGCAGUCACUCUGGUCAAAUGGAACUAUAUCAAAUAGAGUCACCACUGGAAUCCGUCAACAAGACUGAAAAGAAAGGCUGUUUUUUUUUUUGCCACCUCCACCAAACCCACAUGUCUUCAUCAAUUUUCCCAGGUAUCUGAUUUAUAAUAUUUGGCCUACUAAAUUACCCCGGGACUUUUUUUCAUCAAGUAAGAUUUGGUGUGUUUUCUUCCUGUGGGUUCAAAGUUGGCAAGAAAUUUUAAAAAAGCUCUGGUGGCUGACUGCAGGGCAGCCUUCUGGGCAAGGCAGCAGGGGUGGAGGAUGCUGGAGCAGGCUGAGGGUACAGAUCUACCUGAAGAAAGGAUCACCUGCUUUGUCACAAGGGCUCCUGCUGCUCACCUGCAGCACCACUGUCUGGUGUCCAUCUCUGCACCUUGGGAGUCAUUUUGCUCCCACAUCCUUACUGAUUACCAGGUCCUACUCAUUUUGUUCUCAAACAUUUUUCAAAUUUUCCACGCUUCCUCUCUACUCCAUGACCAGAGCUAUUUAGAGACUCAUUUGGUUUCCCAGCUUGCUUCAAGAGAGCUCCUAAUCUUCCAGUUCCACUAGUUAUUUCCCAAGAAGCAAAUUCCAAUGUCAGUAGCCUGCUUUAGAUUUUCUAAAAAUGAAGCACCACUGGCUUGAGGAUAAAACCUUUCUGUAAUGCAUAUUCACUUUUUUUUUUUUUUUUUUUGGUACUGAGGAUUAACUCAGGCCACAUAACCACUGAACCACAUCCCUAGCCCUAUUUAUUUAUUUAUUUAUAGACAGGGUCUUGCUUAGUUGAUGAGGCUGGCUUUGAACUCGCAAUCCUCAGCCUCAGCCUCCCGAACUGCAGGGAUUACAGGAGUGUGUCACUGCGUCCGUCUAGCCUAGUUUUUAUUUUUGACACAGGGUCUUGCUAAAUUGCUUAGGCUGGUAAGAGCCAAUGUCAGUAUCUGGUACAUCAGGCCAUGGCAGAAGGUGGCAUGGUAAGAAGCAUUCAAGGCAAAGGGAAGGUGGGGGCCAAACUUACCUUUUUUGUCAGGAGCUUUCUCCUGUGACAAUUAACCCACUCCCACCAUAAGAGCAGAGCCUUGGGGUUGGGGUUUCGGCUCAAUGAUAAAGAGCUUGCCUAGCAUGUGCGAGGCACUGGUUCUAUCCUCAGCACCACAUAUAAAUAAACAAACAAACAAAUAAAUAAAAUAAAGGUAUUGUGUCCUAUAGCAUAAGAAUUAAAAUCAAGAAUUAAUAAAUGGGAUGAAUUCAAACUAAAAUGCUUCUCAGCAAAAGAAACCAUCAAUGAGGUGAAUAGAGAGCCUACAGCUUGGGAGCAAAUUUUUACCACUUGCACAUCAGAUAGAGCACUAGUCUCUAAGGUAUAUAAAAAACUCAAAGAGCUCAACACCAAAAAACAACAACAACAAAAAAAACAAAUAACCCAAUCAAUAAAUGGGCCAAGGAACUGAACAGACAUUUCUCAGAAGGUGAUAUACAAUCAAUCAACAAAUACAUGAAAAAAUGUUCAACAUCUCUAGCAAUUAGAGAAAUGCAAAUCAAAACUACUCUAAGAUUUCAUUUUACUCCAGUCAGAAUGGCAGCUAUUAAGAAUACAAACAACAAUAAGUGUUGGUGAGGAUGUGGGGAAAAGAUACACUCAUACAUUGCUGGUGGGAUGCAAAACAGUACAGCCACUAUGGAAAGCAGUAUGGAGAUUCCUUGGAAAACUGGGAAUGGAACCACCUUUUGACCCAACUAUUCCUCUCCUCAGUCUAUACGCAAAGGACUUAAAAACAGCAUACUACAGGGACACAGCCACAUCAAUGUUUAUUAUAGCACCAUUCACAAUAGUUAAACUAUGGAACCAACCUAGAUGCCCUUCAGUAGAUGAAUGGAUAAAGAAAAGGUGGUAUAUAUACACAAUGGAAUAUUACUCAGCAAUAACAAAGAAUAAAAUCAUGGCAUUUGCAGGUAAAUGGAUAGAGUUGGAGAAGAUAAUGCUAAGUGAAGUUAGCCAAUCCCAAAAACCAAAUGAUGAAAUGUUUUCUCUGAUAUAAGGAGGCUGAUUCAUAGUGGGGUUGGGAGGGAGAACAUGGAAAGAUUAGAUGAACUCUAGAUAGGGUAAAGGGUUGGGAGGGGAAGGGAAGGGGCAUGGGAGUAGAAAUGAUGGUGGAAUGAGAUGGACAUCAUUACCCUAAGUACAUGUAUGAUGACACGAAUGGUGUGAAUAUACUUUGUAUACAACCAGAAAUAUGGAAAAUUGUGCUUUAUAUGUGUAAUAUGAAUUGUAAUGCAUUCUGUCAUAUAUUGACAAAUUAGAAUUUUUAAAAAAAGGGCAGAGUCUUUACAACCUAGCCAUCUUUUAAAGGUCCCACAUCCUAAUACUAUCACCAUAGCAAUUACAUUUCAACAUGAGUUUUGGAGGGGACAUUCAAAUCAAAACAUCUUACUCGAGCCUCAGAUGAUCUCUUUUACACAAGGAAGGACUAGGUAGGAUAAUCUAAAUUCUUUUUUUGCUGCGUUUCAAUUAAAGCAUAAAUAUUUUUCCAUGUUGUAGCAAACAUUUCCCUGUGCUCUAUGGAGUUUCCAUAAUGAUAAUUUUAAAUUACAUAGUGCUUUGUUACUUUAUGUGCCAUAAUCUGGAUGAAUUUUUUCCUUAUUGUUUCUGUUUGUUCACUAUUACAGAUAAUGCUGUAAUAAACAUAUCCAUGCAUGCACUUUUUCCCUAGUUUAAAAGGGAAAAUUUAUCUUAUUUCCUUAAGACAAAUUUCUAGGAAUGGAAUUAGUAAAUCCAAGGGUAUAACUAUAUUAUAGGUUUCAACAUUCUAAUUCUCAGGCCCUCUCUUCCCAAUUGCUUUGAACAUCUUUCUGUACCUUCUUCAUUUUCAUUCCUCCACCCCAAAACCUACAUAUUUAUUUCAAACCACUUUGAAAAUAUAAGGAUGUCUAACAAUUCUCUCUGGGACUAAACUUGAAUGAUUGAAUAAAAUAUACAAUUGUAGAUAAAUUUUUAGUUUUAUUUUUUUUUAAAAAACUCUUAGACUACAGAAUCUUAUUCUGGUACAAAGACUGGAAGAUUUUUUUUUUUUUUUUUUUUUUACCUUUUUUUGUUUUUCUGAUAUUACUUCCUACUUGGCUAGCAGUAGAUAAUUCUUACUUCCCUCCCCCUAGGCUGGGUCUCCCAAGAAGGAUCAGAACAUACUGAUAACCUGCCAGUGCCUUCACAGAGUCCAAAGAAAUUAAUGAGAUGUAAGUUCUUUAUUUUUCCCCACUGCAUUACAGUUGAAUUUGGAUAAACUUAGAAAGGAUCACUUUUAUAGUCUUUGCCUCACAUUGUUCAGAAAAAUAUUUUGUCAAUAAUGAGUUAGUAUUAAAAUGAAAGCUAUCCUUCACAUUGAAAGCACAGACUAGAAAUUGUGAACUUGUCAUAGUAUACUAACUUUUGAACUGUAAUCUGUUAUAUUUUGUUUUCAGGUUCCUUGGCAGUUGAUAUACCAUUAGGAAUAAAAGAUGUGUUUUGUUUUGUGUGUGUGGUGCUAGGGAUUGAACCCAUGGCCUUGUGCAUGUGAGGCAACCACUCUACAAACUGAGCUAUAUCUCCAGCCCAAAAGAUGUGUUUUCUGUUUUUGUUUUUGGCUGUGCUGGGUCCUCACACACACUAGAGGAGCACUCUGCUGUGCACUACACCCCCAUCCCAGAAGAUGCUUUUUGAUUAUAGGAUGCCUACUGGCAAAGAAUGUAUUCAAGCACUUAAGAUGAUUACCAUCUUAAUUAGGGGUGUUUGUAUUGCCGGGGACUGAACCUAGGGCCUCAGUCAUCCAAAGCAUGGGUUCUACCAUUGUGCUGUACCCAUCCCCAACCAUUUUUUAAAAAUAUAUGUGUUUUGGGGGGCUGGGGUUGUGGCUCAGCGGUAGAGCACUCGUCUUGCAUGUGCGGGACCCUAGGUUCGAUCCUCAGCACCACGUAAAAAAUAAAUGAGUGAAAUAAAGGUAUUGUGUCCAACUAAAAAAUAAAUAUCUUUUAAAAAUAUAUGUGUUUUUUAGUAGUAGUUGGACACAAUACCUUUAUUUUAUUUAUUUAUUUUUAUGUGGUGCUGAGGCUCGCACCGGCACCUAGCACAUGCUAGGCGAGCGCUCUACCGCUGUUCCAUAAACCCAGCCCCUCCCAACCAGUUUUAACACUACUAGUUCCAUAAUUUAUGUCCACAUGAGUAUGAAUACAAGUCUUCAGAACUUUCUCAUCACGUUAAUCUGAAACUCUGUACCCACGCAGCAACACUCCCCGUUUCCUCUUCCUUGAGCCCCUGGGAACCACCAUUCUACUUUCUGUAAGUUUGAUCACUUUAGAUACUUCAUACAAGUGGAAUAAUACAAUCUGCUUUUUGGUGACCAGGUAUUUCAUUUGGUAUAAUGCCCUCAAGUUUCAUUCAUCCUGUAGCACAUGUAGGACAGGCUUGCAAGGCUGAAGAACAUUCCAUUGAGUGGGUACACCCUAUUUGGUAAUCUAUUCAUUUAUAGAUCGAAUUUUCAAGUCUUUUGAUACAAUUUAUUUCCUUCAUUGGUUCUCACUACUCUGCUAUAAACAAGAGACCUCUCUUCUUUCCCAUUUAUUAUCAGUAUAGAUUCAUGGUUUUUCAAUGUUUCCUAGUCAUUAUGUAAUCAUUUUGGUGCUCAAAUUGUUCCUCUGUUGUCCUGUGAAAAGAACGUUACCUUAUCCUAGGGGCUGGGGUUGUGACUCAGCGCUUGCCUAGCACGUGCAAAGCCCUGGAUUCAAUCCUCAGCACCACAUAAAAAUAAAUAAAUUAGAGCCUUCUAUAAAUUAUCUUAAAAUUAAAUGUUUCUAAAAUGACUGUAGUAAUUAUUGCUUGCCAUUUUACUCUUCUCAAGUCUUUUCACAGGGCAGUAUGCAAUUACUCAAUUUUAGUAGAAUCAGUAAAGCAUAAAGUAUCUGCAUUAUCUUUGCUAAUUUAUCCUAAAGGAAAUAUAAUUGAUUAUUAUGGUCAGUUUAAUUUUUUAUUUAAAAGAAUAAUCUACUUCAUUAUAAUUUAAAUAAUUAUAAAGGUGGGACAAAAAUAUGACUUCAAAAAGUUGAAACUCUUUGAUGUGUUUCCUUUUUUCUUUUUUAAUAGCCCCCAACAGUGGUAACCAAGACAUGUCAGCCUGGUUCAAUCUAUUUGCAGACUUGGAUCCACUUUCAAAUCCAGAUGCCAUUGGACACUCAGAUGAUGAACUUCUUAAUGCUUGACUGAAAUUAUAAUGUCAUUUUGGGGGUCUUGUGACAUCAAUUUUGCAACAUAUUGCUUUUGUGAAAAGGUUUAUAUUGCAAUCCACACACAAAAGCAUGGUGUUGGUGAAUAUAACACCUGUCAGCUGACUUUAGACAGAUGGUAAGGUCCACAUUUGAAUAGAUUAAGUAUAUCUGUAGUAUCUUGGAUUUGCAGAGGUUGAUACUAUGUGGAAAAUUUUAGAAACCACUGAGUCUGCAAUUUUUAGAUAACAAAAUCUAUGUCAAAAUGACAGGGUAAUUCUGCCAAAAAGGACUUGGGAUUAUUCCUCUUGAAAGUGUUUUUAAGUUGCCCUGCUGGCUAUGAGAAUUCUAUAUGUGAAUAAAGGACAGCAUGUAAAUUGGGUUGUGGUUUGGGGUUGGUUUUUAAAUAAAACAGGGAGGGGAUUUCUGUUGUGGAAAAUAGCACCAGACCAGCUUUGUCUUUGAUUAGAAAGGUAGAGUAAGCUUUGAGAACUCAAUUUGCUUUAAAGAAAUCAGAGAAACUUGUACUUGUUUUUCUCCAUCUGGAGGCUAAAAUGUAAAGUUACCUUUCAUUUAUACAAAAUCAUGGACACCCCUAAUUCAUUUAUUAAAUUUUCAUGGGGGAAGUAGCAAGAUGAUUAAUUUGUCAAGCUUAUCCUCUGUAGAAAUGAAAAAAAAAUCUACCCAUUUCAUAAACCACAAGAAUAUGCAGCAAGAUUCAAGACAUUGUACAAAUAUCUUUAGGCCUGAUUUUUCACAUAUUGCUAUAGAGUAAUAUGCAGUAUUCAUUUUCUUCCUGAAAAGAAAACAAGAUUCGCUAACAAACUGGCAAUGGUAUUCCUGAAAUUACUUAAAAACUUCAAUUUUAAACACCUUAUCCUUAUACACAUUUUGCAAUAGUUACCCCAUAUUUCUUAACACAAUUCAACCCAGAAUAUUUUCUGGCAGAGACACAGAAAACUCUACAUGAUCAAUAGAGGAGUGUCCUAUUUUUGCACUGCUCCCUUUCUGUGGGAGACAUCAUCUGAGGCUCUAUUUGACUAUUAAGCAAAAACUAUUACUUAGUUUUAGAACCUAAGUUCUGGAGGUAAAGCUAUUUAAUGGAAGUUAGUGAAAGCUGGUGAAAAUAUAGCUACUGUACACACAUCGCUCAAUUUCCUUUUUUUCCCCCCUGCCCUUUAGUUUUGAGGCAAUUUUCCAACUGUUUUAUUUUUGCCAACCAAUGCAUUGCAACACCAUAAGAAGACAUUUUUCAUUAAAUUGUUCACAGUAGCUUUCAUGUGCUUCUCAUUCUAAACAGGCUUAUUUAGAAGAAAGCUGCUGGUAAUGUCUAAGUCAUUGUAUAUGGUAAACAUUUUUAAGGAAUGGACUGGAGUAGGUAAAAUGCAGCCCACCUCCCAUCCACAGCAGUCUGGCCUACGUACAAAGUUAAAUGCCCAGGAGCUCUCUAGAAAACCUCUACUAUGGCCAACAACUGCACAGGCCAGAAAAACCUUAUCCGAGGGCCAGAAACAUGGACUCAGGAAAAAAGUAUGAAAUCUUUCCUAGUAUCUUUUCACAUUUUUCCUAUAUUUAUCUGUUUUUAAUGAGCUUUAUUAUCUCUACAGAAGCAUUUUUUUAAUUCUUCCUUUUUAGUCAGUGAAAAUUUUCAGAAUGCAGAAGUCAUUAUUUUGCCAAGAUUUAAUCACCAAGAUAAUGAUUAUAAAUCACAAUCUAAAUUCUAUGCCCACAGUGACUCAUGGUGACUAACUUUCAACUUUGAUUGCCUCAAAAAAAUGCUAAUUUUUAUUGUCUUAGGUUUGUGCCAUCUUACUCAGCAGUAGUAGCCUAACACAUUGGUGUGCAAGUAUUAGUAGUACAUGUCUCUCACAUUCAUGGAAAGCAGUCCCCAUCACCUGGUAUAAACAAAGAUACUUCAAUGAGUUGGAAAACCAGUGGUCUCUACAAACCAGGAGCUUAAAUCCCACACAGUUCAUGUGAAGGGAUAACAACCUCAAUUUUCCAAGAGCAAAUGUGACCCCACAUUGAAACGUCAAAGGGUUUCUGUUGUUCAGCUGUUUCCUUUUUCAACAGAGCAUGUAGUUUGCCAUUUAACCCAGAAGCAACACUAACUGCCUCAGCAAAUUUAAUCUAGAAGAUUCAUUCAAAUAAGAAUGAAUCAAUCCUAAACCUAGGGUAGAGCAAGACUAGCUCUUUCAAAAGCGAUACCUUUUAUAUUAAGUGAGGGAAAAACCUAUCUUCUGCUUUCUACCAGAUGAUAAUGCAUUGAAGCUUAGAAAAGCCCCCCAGCAGAACUAAAAUUUAACUCUUUUUAACAGUUUAUAGGAGAGGCAGGAAUACCAAGGCAUAAGAUCACAUAUCAUUGGAACUUUGUAUUUUUUUUUUUUAAAUCUUUCUUUUAAUUGCAGAACAUAGCUCUAAAAAAGAUUAGAAACAUACUAUUUAGACAAAAUAGGUUCUAGUAUCUGCACACUGAAAAAGAAGUUUUUGUAUUUCAACUAUGGAUACUUAUUUCACAUAAUUGUCUUUAUAGAUCAUCUAGAAAUGUAAACUUCUUCGAGGAAUAGAACAAAGGAAAUUUAAAUGCGCUCUAUUUUUCUGAGCCUCUUUUAAUAAAGAUUGCAAGGUGGCAUAAAACAAAAAAGUUUGUUUCCUGAAAUGUUCGAUACAAUCCAAUUUUUGUUUCCCUAUUUUAAAACAUGGGUUUCACCCCAGGGUUUCACAAAUGAAAUUGAUAAGAAUGAAAAGAGAAUUCAGAAUGACAAUAAAACCACAGCAAUUCAUGACCUUGUUAAGACUGAUUUACCUCAAACUGAGGGGGGUUGUCUAAGGUAUGGGAAACAAAAGAGUGUGUGUUCUCUGUAUAAAUACUUUUAGUAACAAAUUCUCAAACUUUUGAGCCUAGAAGUAACCAAUGAAAUAUAAGCCAUAAUAUUUAACUUAAUUUACUGAAGGCAGGAAUUUUUUAAAAAGAGGGUGCCAGAACCGAUCCAGGUAUUUCUGUCAUCCAUAGUAUUGGCACGGCCCUCUAGUCUUUCCUCUGAACAAUGAAGCAGCCCACAAUCUUGGAACAUAGAAAUUAGGAAGGAACUAAAACUUUACAAUUUUCACUAAUUCAGAAGUACUGAAAGCGAUACAGUAGUAAGGAAUUUAAAUGGCAAAGAAAACCUACCAAACAGGUUGGGGUGAAAAAUUAUUAGAAUCAUAUCCAGAAGCCCAACAUAAAAUACAUUCUUCUAGCUUUCACAUACCAUUUAAAAGAAGACUUACAGACUUCAAUAAAAACUGUCCAUGGUAUUUGUGUGUGUGUGUAGUGCUGGCACUGGAAUCCAGGGCCUCAUGCAUGCUAAGCAAGUGCUUUGUCACUGAGCUGCCACACAACCCUGUCCUUGGCAUUUCAAGUCAAGACAUGGUUCUUUACUCAGUGGUGUAAAUAGAUCAAUCGUCGGCCAAAGAGUGAAUGCAAGAUGAAAUAAAGGUGGGGCUGGUGUUAAUGGGUAAGAUUUUGUAGUGUACAUUUUUGCAUUUAUAUUGAACGCUUUAAAACUUCUUGCUGCCUCAACCUUCCCACAAACAGGCUGUGAGCACCUGGACCAGGAAAGCAGGUGCACCAGUGUGAUACAGGCAUCCCUGUUUCCUAUUCUUCAUGACCAUUACUAGAAAUACUUACACACUGAAAUC
rnacentral:lncRNA from 1 species